UGGGGUGUGGCUCAGUGGAAGAGCACUUGCCUAGCAUGUGUGAGGCACUGGGUUCCAUUCUCAGCACCUCAU
rfam:Ictidomys tridecemlineatus contig028341, whole genome shotgun sequence.